rnacentral:miRNA from 1 species
UAAUACGUUUCGGGGCACAGCCCCUUCGUCAGAAACGAGAUAAGUUCAAUCCAUGUCUUUAAAUACUUUAGGCUCAAUCUAAUUAAGAUACACUAAUAAGGCUGAUUGAGCCUAAAGUAUUUAAAUACAUGAACUUAUCUCGUUUCUGACGAAGGGGCUGUGCCCCGAAACGUAUUA